rnacentral:rRNA from 1 species
GACGAACGCUGGCGGCGUGCUUUACACAUGCAAGUCGAACGAAGUGGCGAACGGGCGAGUAAUACGCGGGUAACCUGCCCUCCUUUUUGGGAUAAGCCUUGGAAACGGGGUCUAAUACCGAAUAAAGGGGGAUGGGCUCGCGGCCUAUCAGCUUGUUGGUGGGGUGAUGGCCUACCAAGUCGGUGACGGGUAGCCGGCCUGAGAUGGUGACCGGCCACUUUGUGACUUUGAUACGGCCCAGACACCUACGGGAGGCAGCAUUGGGGGAUAUGGCGCAAUGGGAGAAGGCCUGAAGCGGCGACGCCGCGUGGGGGGGGAAGGCUGUCGAUUUAUAAACCUCUUUCGCUAUCGAUGGGGUACGUGUAGAAGAAGCGCCGGCUAACUACGUGACAGCAGCCGCGGUAAUAC